GGAUCAAUGAGUCGGUCGUGCCCUCGGUACGUACUGGCUUUAUUGGUUCUCACCUUCUAAUGAACCAUAAUGUCAUUCAUUUGAUGUUAUGGGGAAUUGGGACUGUUACCUUGAAAAAAUUAGAGUGUUUAAAGCAGGCUAACGCUUGAAUACAUUAGCAUGGAAUAAUGAAAUAGGACGUUCGAUCCUAUUUUGUUGGUUUCUAGGAUUGACGUA
rnacentral:rRNA from 1 species